rnacentral:rRNA from 1 species
UACGUAGGGUGCAAGCGUUAAUCGGAAUUACUGGGCGUAAAGCGUGCGCAGGCGGUAAUGUAAGACAGUUGUGAAAUCCCCGGGCUCAACCUGGGAACUGCAUCUGUGACUGCAUUGCUGGAGUACGGUAGAGGGGAUGGAAUUCCGCGUGUAGCAGUGAAAUGCGUAGAUAUGCGGAGGAACACCGAUGGCGAAGGCAAUCCCCUGGACCUGUACUGACGCUCAUGCACGAAAGCGUGGGGAGCAAACAGG